GAAAGUACUUUCGUUUCACGUUUUUAGAACAUAUUUAAAAAUUUGAAAGUCAUUUCAAGGAUCGCUGUAAAUACGAAUAGCAGGAACUACAAUGUAUCCUGUAAUAGUUUGAUUGGUCAACGAAAUACAGUUCAUCAUGGAGUACGUCGAUGCUGCAAAAAGUAAAAGCAACGACAACUCUUGUAACUCAACUCCUUGUGCUGAACUAGUAUCAAAUACAAAUUCUAAUGAAAAUUUGCUGGUAGAAAAAAAGGACUCAACAGUAAAACCUCAGAUUCGAGGCAUACAAAAGAGAGAUAAUAAUAUUGCAACUACCUCGCAUGAUCCACCCCAAGAGAACAUAGACUUUAAAGUGAUUUAUAAUAAACAAAGGAUUAAUGUAAAUUUUCCACUUGAUGGUACAGUGGCAAAACUGAAAGCUUAUCUUCAAAAUAUCAUAUCUGUGCCACAAUCUAUGCAGAAGGUUAUGAUUAAAGGACUAGCCAAAAAUGAACAAACAUUAAGAAGUUUGGGUGUUACAAAAGGUGCCAAAGUGAUGGUAGUAGGGUCAAAACUAGAUGAUGUAUUAGCCAUUUCACUUCCAUCAAAACAGGAUUUGUUAGAUGAAGCUGCUUCCACUACAAAUAAAGAACCUUUAUCUCAGCAAAAAAUACAUAGGAAAGUAUUAGAUAAAGGUAUGCCUGAUGAUGUGAUGCCUGGUAUAUUAGAUAGUAAGGAACCUCUACCAGAAUUUCCAUUGGCUGGUAUGUUAAAUAAAUCUGGCGGUAAAGUUAGAUUAACAUUUAAAUUGGAGCAAGAUCAGCUUUGGAUUGGUACAAAAGAAAGAACAGAUAAAAUACCCAUGAAUUCCAUAAAAGGUGUACACAGUGAACCAAUACAUGAUCAUCCUGAAUAUCAUAUUAUGGCUAUACAAUUAGGCACAACAGAAGCUUCGAGAUACUGGAUAUAUUGGGUUCCUGCACAAUACAUAUCCGCUAUAAAAGAUGCUGUUCUUGGCAAGUGGUGCUACUUCUGAUCGAACAUUGAUGGAAGUUUCGGUCUCUUCAAAAACAAAGCGUAAUCAGGUGUAAGCAUUGAUACAAACACGACUGUACUAGUCACACAUUUUUAACAGAGGAAGUGAAGAAAGAAGUUAUGAUGUUGCAUUUACAAUCUUUUGAAGUUCGUCGAGAAAUAAUUCAACUUUUUAGUACAUUUAAUGACAUUAAAUAAUAAAUUAAAAUAGUUUAGAUAUUCAAAAACGAAUUGUUUCAGAUCUAUUUUUAUAGUUACAAUUUAUGUCGAGUAUCGAAGCUGAUUUUAUAAAUGUUAAGUUUCAAAACAAAUUUGUCACAAAUUAAUUUGAUUCAAUUAAAAAAAUAAAAACAAGAAGGUACGAAUUAUAAACGAAAUUCAAGUUGCAAUAAGCUAAGUUAUUAUCAAGAAAUAUAGUCCGCAUUUUAUAAAGAUGGAAAAAAUGCAAUUUUUGGUACGAUGUUACUGUUCGAUUACGAAACAACGAAUUUGUCAAAAUAUAUUUGCACGCGUCUUGAUAUUGGCCUAUAAAACAAAAAUUGUCCAGGGGAAUUAGCCGUCUCAAAAUUUCGCUGUGCACUAGAGUUCAAGUGGACUGUAUAUCUCGACGAGCAUUAUUAAGACGAGCAUUAAAUUAUUAUGUAACGUUAGUAUUAUAAACUGCUGUAAAUUAGGUUUUAUACUGUACAUGUACACAACUGAACGAGAACCCGGGAAAACGACAAAUCAAACUUGUAUCUACCGUAAUAUCUACAUGGAAUUCAUAACUAUUUGCACAUUCGAAAAACUAUUUCAAUGUCCAUUUAAAACAAGACUUGUACAUCAUGUUGUGUGAUUUGAUAAAAAUAAACAAUUUUAAGUCUUCUCAAA